rnacentral:rRNA from 1 species
UACGGAGGAUGCGAGCGUUAUCCGGAUUUAUUGGGUUUAAAGGGUGCGUAGGCGGACGCUUAAGUCAGCGGUAAAAUUGCGGGGCUCAACCGGUACAGGCUCUGGAAACUGGCGGGCUAGAGAGCAGGAGAGGGCGGUGGAACUCCAUGUGUAGCGGUAAAAUGCGUAGAUAUAUGGAAGAACACCAGUGGCGAAGGCGAUUCUCUGGACUGUAACUGACGCUGAGGCUCGAAAGCGUGGGGAGCAAACAGG